UGCGCCGGAGCUACUCGUGCAGCGUUUGCAACGUAGUGCUGAACUCCAUCGAGCAGUAUCACGCUCAUCUCCAGGGCUCCAAACACCAAAACAAUUUAAAACAACAUCAGCAAUGAAGAACUGGAAAUACUGAAGCUGAAACAGGAGAAACAGAGCAUUUCAGGAAUUUACAGAACUGCACAAACUAAUUGCGAACUCAUAAGAAAAUAUGUCUUGUUUGGCCACAGGAAUUGUUCAUCUACAACAUCUGAGGUUCCUCAAAUGUCAAGUGUUUUAUAUUUUUUAUUCACAAUCAAAAGCUCAAAGAUCGAUCUACUUUGGGAAUAUCGUCCAUCCUUCCAUGAGCAUAAAGGAUGCCUAUGAUCAAUCCAGUGAUAUUCAUCAUGUAACAUGAGCGCAUCAGCCUGAACAGACAUGCAAUGGUCCUGCUACUUUUAUUUUUGCCUUUCAAACUCUUGUAUGCAGUGGC